rnacentral:lncRNA from 1 species
GAAGCAGGAAGCCCUCCCACAAAAGCAGGCGGCCCUCCGGUACGGAAAGCAGGAAGCCCUCAGCAGCAGAAAGCAAGCGGACCUCGCUUGGGGAAAGCAGGAGGCCCUCAGGAACAGAAAGCAAGCGGCCCUCAGGGGCAGAAAGCAAGCGGCCCUCAAGGGCAGAAAGCAGGCGGUCUUCAAAGUCAGGCCAGCAGACCCCAGUGGUACAGGAGGAGACCUCGGAGUCAGAAAGCAAGCACACUUCAGGGGUAGAAGCAGAGACCUCAGAGACAGAAGGCAAGCAGAUUUUAGAGGCCCAAGGUGAGGAGAUCUUAGAGGCCCAAGGUGAGGAGAUCUCAGGAGUAGAAGGGGAGGAGACCUCUGGGCCAGAAGCCCCGCAAACCUCAGAAGAUCAGCCGACCUCAGAGGCAGAAGAGGAUCUGACCUCAGAAGUAGAAGGCCAGCCGACCUCAGGGCAAGAAGGCCAGCAGAUCUCAGGGCCAGAAGGCCAGUUGACCUCAGAGGCAGAAGGCCAGCAAACUUCAGGGGCAGAAGGGGAGUUGACCUCAGAGGCAGAAGGCCAGCAGGCCUCAGGAGCAGAAGGUGAGCUGACCUCAGAGGCAGAAGGCCAGCAGGCCUCAGGAGCAGAAGGCGAGCUGACCUCUGGGCCAGAAGACCAGGUGACCCCAGGAGCAGAAGAGGAGCUGGCCUCAGAGGCAGAAGGCCAGCAGGCCUCAGCGGCAGAAGGUGAGCUGACCUCAGAGGCAGAAGGCCAGCAGGCCUCAGCGGCAGAAGGUGAGCUGACCUCAGAGGCAGAAGGCCCGCAGGCCUCAGUGGCAGAAGACGAGCUGACCUCUGGGCCAGAAGGCCAGGUGACUCCAGGGGCAGAAGAGGAGCUGGCCUCCACGCUAGAAGGCCAGGUGACCUCAGGAACAGAAGGCGAGCUGACCUCAGGAGCAGAAUUUGAUCAGCUUCUGGCCACAGAAGAUGAGCAGACUUUAGGUGUGAAGACUCCUGAAGGUGAUGAGCUCCUGGACCACGGCAAAGCCUUAUGGCUGGUGAUUGAAGGGGUCGCAAAGAGCAAAGACCAAGAACUGACUGAGGAACUUCCAAAAGAAGAAGGGUCAGAAGGUUACGAAAAGAAGAAAUCAUUAUCUGCUGAGAAAAGUAACCCUACCGAAAAGAGUGAGACACAAUUCUCAGAAACCAAGUUUGAGAACGCCACGGAUAACACAGCCGACGUAGCCAAUGAAGGAGAAGAAGCCAACAGGAAGACGAGCCCUAUAAAAGCCCAAGAAAUGAUGGAAGGAGAGCAGCCUGGUCAAGGGGCUGAGGAAAAGAAAGAAAUCCUCCAGGGCGGGGAGGAAGGGGCAGAGGGGGAGAAGGAGCCUGAAG